rnacentral:rRNA from 1 species
UUAAGUGACUAAGCGUACAAGGUGGAUGCCUUGGCAAUCAGAGGCGAAGAAGGACGUGCUAAUCUGCGAAAAGCUUGGAUGAGUCGAUAAGAGGCGUUUAAUCCAAGAUAUCCGAAUGGGGAAACCCAGUAGAUGAAGAAUCUACUAUCAACAAGUGAAUUCAUAGCUUGUUGAGGCAAACCGGGAGAACUGAAACAUCUAAGUACCCCGAGGAAAAGAAAUCAACCGAGAUUUCGUCAGUAGCGGCGAGCGAAAGCGAAAGAGCCAGUAAGUGAUAGCAAUAUAGUGAGGAGAAUGUGUUGGGAAGCACAAUCAAAGAGGGUGAUAAUCCCGUAUCUAAAAACCAUAUUGUGGUACUAAGCUAACGAGAAGUAGGGCGGGACACGUGAUAUCCUGUUUGAAGAAGGGGGGCCCAUCCUCCAAGGCUAAAUACUCCUGAUUGACCGAUAGUGAACCAGUACUGUGAAGGAAAGGCGAAAAGAACCCCGGUGAGGGGAGUGAAAUAGAACCUGAAACCUUGUACGUACAAGCAGUGGGAGCGAGGGCAACCUUGUGACUGCGUACCUUUUGUAUAAUGGGUCAGCGACUUAUAUUUUGUAGCGAGGUUAACCGAAUAGGGGAGCCGAAGGGAAACCGAGUCUUAACUGGGCGAAUAGUUGCAAGGUAUAGACCCGAAACCCGGUGAUCUAGCCAUGGGCAGGUUGAAGGUUGGGUAACACUAACUGGAGGACCGAACCGACUAAUGUUGAAAAAUUAGCGGAUGACUUGUGGCUGGGGGUGAAAGGCCAAUCAAACCGGGAGAUAGCUGGUUCUCCCCGAAAUCUAUUUAGGUAGAGCCUUGAGGUGACACCUUUGGGGGUAGAGCACUGUUUCGGCUAGGGGGCCAUCCCGGCUUACCAACCCGAUGCAAACUACGAAUACCAAAGAGUGAUACUCAGGAGACACACGGCGGGUGCUAACGUCCGUCGUGGAGAGGGAAACAACCCAGACCGCCAGCUAAGGUCCCCAAGUCUAUAUUAAGUGGGAAACGAAGUGGGAAGGCUUAGACAGCUAGGAUGUUGGCUUAGAAGCAGCCAUCAUUUAAAGAAAGCGUAAUAGCUCACUAGUCGAGUCGGCCUGCGCGGAAGAUGUAACGGGGCUGAAAUAUAGCACCGAAGCUGCGGCAUCAGAAUUUAUUCUGUUGGGUAGGGGAGCGUUGUGUAAGCGGAAGAAGGUUCAUCGAGAGGUGGGCUGGACGUAUCACAAGUGCGAAUGCUGACAUAAGUAACGAUAAAACGGGUGAAAAACCCGUUCGCCGGAAGACCAAGGGUUCCUGUCCAACGUUAAUCGGGGCAGGGUGAGUCGGCUCCUAAGGCGAGGCUGAAAAGCGUAGUCGAUGGGAAACAGGUUAAUAUUCCUGUACUUGGUAAAGCUGCGAUGUGGGGACGGAGUAGGUUAGGUUAUCGCACUGUUGGAUAUGUGCGUUUAAGUUGGUAGGUGGGAAGUUUAGGCAAAUCCGGACUUCCUUAACACAGAGAGAUGAUGACGAGGCUCUACGGAGCUGAAGUAACUGAUACCACACUUCCAGGAAAAGCCACUAAGCGAAAGGCUUUACUAAACCGUACUGAAAACCGACACAGGUGGUCAGGUAGAGAAUACUCAGGCGCUUGAGAGAACUCGGGUGAAGGAACUAGGCAAAAUAGCACCGUAACUUCGGGAGAAGGUGCGCCGGCGUAGAUUGUAAGGGCUAGCCCCUGAAGGUUGAACCGGUCGAAGAUACCAGCUGGCUGCAACUGUUUAUUAAAAACACAGCACUCUGCAAACACGAAAGUGGAGGUAUAGGGUGUGAUGCCUGCCCGGUGCUGGAAGGUUAAUUGAUGGUGUAAUCGCAAGAGAAGCACCUGAUCGAAGCCCCAGUAAACGGCGGCCGUAACUAUAACGGUCCUAAGGUAGCGAAAUUCCUUGUCGGGUAAGUUCCGACCUGCACGAAUGGCAUAAUGAUGGCCAGGCUGUCUCCACCCGAGACUCAGUGAAAUUGAAAUCGCCGUGAAGAUGCGGUGUACCCGCGGCUAGACGGAAAGACCCCGUGAACCUUUACUAUAGCUUGACACUGAACAUUGAAUUUUGAUGUGUAGGAUAGGUGGGAGCCUUUGAAGCAGUGACGCCAGUCAUUGUGGAGGCGACCUUGAAAUACCACCCUUUAACGUUUGAUGUUCUAACGAAGAUGACGAAACGUGGUCUCGGACAGUGUCUGGUGGGUAGUUUGACUGGGGCGGUCUCCUCCCAAAGCGUAACGGAGGAGCACGAAGGUUUGCUAAUCACGGUCGGACAUCGUGAGGUUAGUGCAAUGGUAUAAGCAAGCUUAACUGCGAGACAGACAAGUCGAGCAGGUACGAAAGUAGGUCAUAGUGAUCCGGUGGUUCUGAAUGGAAGGGCCAUCGCUCAACGGAUAAAAGGUACUCCGGGGAUAACAGGCUGAUACCGCCCAAGAGUUCAUAUCGACGGCGGUGUUUGGCACCUCGAUGUCGGCUCAUCACAUCCUGGGGCUGAAGUAGGUCCCAAGGGUAUGGCUGUUCGCCAUUUAAAGUGGUACGCGAGCUGGGUUUAGAACGUCGUGAGACAGUUCGGUCCCUAUCUGCCGUGGGCGUAGGAUGAUUGAUUGGGGCUGCUCCUAGUACGAGAGGACCGGAGUGGACGCAUCACUGGUGUUCCGGUUGUGUCGCCAGACGCAUUGCCGGGUAGCUAAAUGCGGAAGAGAUAAGUGCUGAAAGCAUCUAAGCACGAAACUUGCCAAGAGAUGAGUCAUCCCUGACUUUAAGUCAGUAAGGGUUGUUGUAGACUACGACGUAGAUAGGUUGGGUGUGUAAGUGAUGUGAGUCAUUGAGCUAACCAAUACUAAUUGCCCGAGAGGCUUAACUAU